AUUUUUACAUGAUGAAUUAUAAAAGCGGAAGAGUUCUUGAAGACUAUUAUUCACCACCCAAGCCUGAUAAUUUAA